ensembl:lncRNA
UGACACACUGCCAAGCCCAUUUCCAUGACAAAUUAAAAAAAAAAAAAAAAAAGUGCUUGAAUAGUGAAGGAAAGGGUGUAAGACCAUUUAACUCUGUUUUCUAAUAGUUACUGAAGUGGCUGUUACACCUACAGAAUAAAUGAGUGGUCUGUUAUUUCUGAAACUGAAGCUCAUUAAAAACAAACCAAAACAUCAUCACACACAGACCAAAAAAAAAAAAAAAAUAGAAAACCAAAACUAAAGAGGCAUUCAAAAUGUCAUUUGUAUAACUCACCUGACUCAGUCUCGAUGUUAUAAUUGUACAAUGAAAUAUGCUUAGGGCAAAAUGAUCCAGAUUGCCAGUGUCACCAGGCUGACAGUAAUAUGUCUAGGAAAACAGCAGGCUUCCUAUGAACAGCUGAAUGUUUGCAUUUUUCAAAGUGAAGGAGUAAGGGGAAAGAAGUAUACCAAGGAGAACAGUGUCUUAGAGAAGAGGAAAUGGGGUAAUAGGAACGAAGACAGCAGAACAUGUUACUUGAAAAGUUGGGGAGAAGCUGAGUUAUUUUCUCAAAAUAAAUUAGUUCUCAUUUACCAGGUCAGCAUAUUUUAAUCAGUCUAAUGUAGGCUGUCUGAAGUGCUACCUGUGUUGAUUUGAAAGUCUCAGCUGGUGUGACACAGAUUUUCUGAAUAUCUCAGACAAACAGGAGGCCAAAAGACCAAGAGAUCUUUUACGGUGAACCCAGAGGGUCCCUGGUGAAAACUGACAGGAGGGGGAAAUGAGACAAAUGGCAUAUUAGCUGAGAGACUUGCCCAUUUCUUCAUGGGAUGUAUCAAAGCCUGACUUCAGAAAGAUGCUUUUGGCUGAAAGAUUUCACUGAGCAGCAGGGAGACCCAGCAGCUGAUGUCUGGUAAGCCCCAGUAGGAGUGUUUUCCAGACUAAAGUCUUCUAGAUGAGAGUUUGGAAUUUACAGAGCCUUGGCUGCAUAAGCAAAACACAGGUAAGUCUCCCUUCCUGUUUACUUUCCACGCUCCGAAGAGGAUCAGAUCAGCCUGUGGGAUGGGAAGGCAAGGAGAUGAUUAUUUUUGGAAGAUAGCGGGAAGAAGACAGGACAGGUAGUUGCUUUACCUUAAAAUCUGCUGCCUUAUAAUGCUUCUCUGCUUACCUGAAGACCUGCAUGUUAUGCAGAACCUGCAU